rnacentral:rRNA from 1 species
UACGUAGGGGGCUAGCGUUGUCCGGAAUCAUUGGGCGUAAAGCGCGUGUAGGCGGUCCGGUAAGUCCGCUGUGAAAGUCGGGGGCUCAACCCUCGAAUGCCGGUGGAUACUGUCGGGCUAGAGUGCGGAAGAGGCGAGUGGAAUUCCUGGUGUAGCGGUGAAAUGCGUUGAUAUCAUUAGGAACACCAGAGGCGAAGGCGGCUCACUGGGUCUCAACUGACGCUGAUGCACGAAAGCUAGGGUAGCGAACGGG